UGCCAUGUUGCAGAGAGUUCUCAAGAGAGUA
rnacentral:piRNA from 1 species